GUUCACAAACCGGAACAGUCACUUCUGGAUUUGUGGCUUUCGGGAGCCAAAGCGUUCGAGAAUUAAGCUGUUCGAAAACCUAGGUACGACUGUAUUUCCAUCAGAGAAAUGUUGGAGGGGGAGUCUCUAUUUUCAUCAGAGAAAUGUUGGAGGGUGUGGAAUCGGAUGUCCCUAUUUUCAUCGGAGGAGUGUUGGAGGGGAUGUAAAUUAAAGAAACAGCAAGAAAGGAAGGCAGGCAGUCUACAUAAACAGCAAGAGGGGUGGAAUAAUGGUUAUUACCACUGAUUUUUUUUUUUAAUGACUGUGGGCCUUUUUUCUAAUUAUUAAGAUGGUGCACUUGGCACACGACACCGAAGGGAUUGACUUGGUAAUCAUCUAUAAAGCUCUUGAGUAGCCAGAGCGGACUCCCAUGCAGUCAUUUUCUCCCUGGACAGAGGGAGAAAUAAACUCUCCCUGUAUUUAUUAGUAUUAUGGGCUGUCAGGUUAGGAAGAUUUAUUCCAGAGUUACUGCAAGGCAUGGCUUUAUCGUCUUGCUGCCUCCACCAGAACAGCACUGCAGGUGAAAACAUCGAGCCCAGCUAGGACUGCUUUUGGGUCCGUGAAGCAUUUUUUAAUUCUAAGUACAGUGGUACCUCGGGUUAAGUACUUAAUUCGUUCCUGAGGUCCGUACUUAACCUGAAACUGUUCUUAACCUGAAGCUAAUGGGGCCUCCCACUGCUGCCACGCCACCAGAGCCCGAUUUCUGUCCUUGUCCUGAAGCAAAGUUCUUAACCUGAAGCACUAUUUCUGGGUUAGCGGAGUCUGUAACCUGAAGCGUAUGUAACCCGAGGUACCACUGUAAUGGAAAUCCGGUGCUGUUAAGCUACGCCAGCCGCAGUAUUAAGAAAAGGGCACUUGUGCUUCGCCAAACAAGAGGAGUUGCAUCAUGAGAGGGCAAAAUAGGACACUGAUUUGCAUGAAAUCUGCAUGCGCUAAUCUAUGUUUAACAUUUAGAAAAAAAUGUAAUUUAAAUAGAAAUGCCAUACAUCUCAACUUAGUGGAGAGGACUGUGGCCACAUGACUUUUGUGCCUGCUCAGUCUUCUGUCCCAGUGUUAACUGUGGAUGGAAAAGAUUCCAGCCUCCUCCUGCUUGUCCUUCUUGAGCUUUAAUUUAUUUAGAUCUUAUUCUCAUUUUAAUUGAGCUUUAAUUUAUUUAUUGUGUUUCUAUCCAUAUUAUUAUGUUUCUAUAUAUGUUGGAAGCUGCCCAGAGUCGCUGGGGCAAACCAGUGAGACGAGUGAGGUAUAAAUAAUAAAAUUAUUAUUAUUAUUAUUAUUAUUCAAGAGGACUUCCCUAUUUUCACUGGAGACAUGUUGGAGGGUAUGUGAAGGCAGCUGUAGUUUGCCCACCACAGAGAUACAAUUCCCAGUACCCUUAAAAAACUACAGUUCCCGUGAUUCUUUGAAAAACGCCACAUGAGCCCCAAAAUGGAAAGAAGCAGAUGUCCCAGCAAAGGAAGAAUGGAUACAAAAACUUAUAAUAUGCAGAAAUGGUGAAACUUACAGGAAGAAUAAGAAAUCAAGAAUGGAAAUGGUUUGUUGAAUAUUUGCAGGUAAAUUGCAAACAGAUAAAAACAUUGGCAGGAUUAUUGUAAUAACCUGCAGUUUCAAAAGAGUAAAUAAUUAAAUGAAUUUGGAUAUGCAUAAGGUAUUAAGGGACGUGGGUGGCGCUGUGGGUUAAACCACAGAGCCUAGGCAUUGCCGAUCGGAAGGUCGGCGGUUCGAAUCCUCGCGACAGGGUGAGCUCCCGUUGCUCAGUCCCUGCUCCUACCAACCUAGCAGUUCGAAAGCACAUCAAAAGUGCAAGUAGAUAAAUAGGUACCGCUCCGGCGGGAAGGGAAAUGGUGUUUCCGUGCGCUGCUCUGGUUUGCCAGAAGCGGCUUAGUCAUGCUGGCCACAUGACCCGGAAGCUGUACGCCGGCUCCCUCGGCCAAUAAAGCGAGAUGAGCGCCGUAACCCCAGAGUCGGUCAUGACUGGACCUAAUGGUCAGGGGUCCCUUUACCUUUACUUAAGGUGUUAAAAAAUAAAUUUAAGGCACCACAGAAAGAGGGGGAAGGAAGUCAAACUUUGAAAUGUUAAAAUGAUUGUGAAAUUAAUGAAAUGUAUAAAUUUGAAAAGUAUAAAUAAAAACUUUAAAAAGAAAAAAUGCCAUGUGCUUUAAGUGUAUGUUGUGGAUGUGACUGCCCAUACCACUUCUUGGGACACAGGGUGCCGGUUUCCUGGGGUCCUGGGUGCUCACGCAGCCACAAAAUUCAGUGCACCCUGGGCACCUGCACGGUUGCGGGGCCAAGUUGGCCCUCCUGUCUGGGGCUUGCCUCUCAGUAAACAGGCAUGUGAUUUUGUUGCAUACCUGGGCUGUGGACGAUCAUUUGUCAGCUCCUUCACUUCAGAAUACGAUGAUCUCCUAGCCCCAUAGAUAUCCUUUUAGAACCACCACAGCAACAAAACACUGCCACAAAUCAUUUGCAUCCCUCUAAAGGGUAACCGGGAAGGAAUCCAGUGAUCUGGUCUUUAGCAGGAUUUCUUCCAUGGCUAUUUCCCUUGUGAAUGUGAUCUCCCUCCUGCAGGUGCGAUCGGCGAGUUGCUCAGAAUAGCUCCACCAGGCAAAGUUCAGAAUGUCUCGCAUCUGCUACUGACCAGUGAUAGAUUGCUGAGUGGAAAAAGAACAGUAUUAGAACCGUUGCCAAAGAAAGUUCCAGAGGCAAGGGCUCCAUUUUUCAGUGGAUCACUGGGGAACAAUUUUUCUUUUUCAUUUUCUGCUGCAUGAGAUUUUUUCAACUGUUCUUAUAUGUUCUUUCAAUGCUGAUUUCAAAUCUGAAAUUGAUUUUCAUGUACAUGCUAUAGUUAUCUUUCAAUUUCCGACUUUUCCCGAUAUGUCAUAUUUACACUGGGGAUAAGUGGACACUGACACCUUGAUCUACCUUAACCACAUGGUAAUUAUUGUUUUGCAAACUUAAUUUUUCUUUAUUUUUAUAGUUUUGUAACCUAAAUAUUUGUAUUUUUCAGAUCGGACCAUGGCUUCUUCAAGUAGACAAAAAUGUGUAAACAAGUCAUAAAUUGAAAGAUACUGUGUAUCCCAAGAGAAUACAUUUUUGCAUACUUCCAACUGUACAUAGAUAUACAUGUCAUUUUCAAUGCUAUACAUGUCAUGUUCAAUGCUAUAUAAGUCACUUACAUUUAUACUCAUAUUGUACUACUUUGGCUAUGUGUUUAAUAAACUAUUGAAUUCUUGUAUUGUGAAAAACAAAGAUUAUGGUGAACAGUGAAAAACAAGAAUUGCAAAAAAACUAGAGCUCACAGAACAAAACCAACUUCAGAUAUGAAAUCAGCACGUCUAAAUUAGGUUAGAGCAACUGCAGGUGUCAAUGCAACAAAAAUUUUGUUUCCCAGUGUUAUAAGAAGAAAAUCCAGCCCCACUCACAGCCGUCUUAAGCAUAUCUGGCGCCGUAGU